rnacentral:rRNA from 2 species
UUGACCUCGGAUCAGGUAGGGU